CUCAAUUCUAAUAACUGGCUUUCUGGUUAGCCUACCAACUUGGGGUGACUCCCAGCCCUGACCUUUUCGACAGCCUUGUAAAGAAUGUCGUGGCCUUCCCCAGAGCCAGAAAACCGAGCGGAAGCCGCAUGGUCUGUUCUGAACCAGCCUCGUGUUAUCCAGAAUCACUUCCUCUGUAAUGUGUGGGCUACCAGCAAGUGAUGAAGGUCAAUUCAAAUCCAAAGACAAGGAUCCCCACCUUUCAAAGAGAAGAAUGUCGAACAAUUUGAGGACAUCUUUUAAAAUGCUACACCUCCCUUGUCAACUUCUCUGGGAUGAAAACAUUAAAGGUUAAGGGUGUCUCAGCUUUUCGUGGAUCCGGGGCUUGGCUUGUACGUCCGCCCCCAGGAUUGGAAGGUCAGGGCUCUACAGCCUCAAGUCUAUGGAGGGUGUGUACUUAUCCUGUGGGCAGAGCUGUGUGUGCAGCCCCGAUUGGCUUCAGGGCUGAGAUUUUACAAGGUGGGUAUCUGAGAAUUCUUUAUGGUCUUUGCUUACCCUUCAUUCAACAAAGAUGACAAUCAGGAUUUGGGUCUGAGCUCGCAGAGAGGAGAAGACUGAUAAAGGAGCAUAUCUGGGGGAAAGUCAGGGUUGUUGUUGUUGUUGCCACAUCCCAUGGCAUGUGGGAUCUGAAUUCCCCAAACAGGAAUUGAACCCAUGCCCCCAGCAGUGAAAGACUGGAA
rnacentral:lncRNA from 1 species